UAGAUUUUUUUUCAACACAGCAUUAAAUGCAGAAUUUAAUUAGUAGGCAAAUCAUAUCCUAUCAUCUAACAGAGAAUAUUUUUAAAAGAUAAGUCUCCACUAGCAUCUUAUCACUUGCAUCCUUGUAUAUGUACACAUUUACGAAUCAUUCACACACCUCACGUCCAAACCCCCACCUAUAUUAGUCACGACAAAAAUCUCAUAAAUUCAAAAUCGGAGGAAACCAACGUAGAGAAAUCUCCUUGCAAUCGCAACUGCUCAAUCAAGCAAAAAGUUUGAGGAAAAAGAAAAAUAACAAAACUGUCUAGAAUCCAAUUCCUUUUGCUGCUAGGCAAUUUCUCCUCUCCGAAGGUGAAACCUCGCAAGCGAAAUGUGAUACCAAGGGGAAGAAAAUACUUGUGAACUAAACGAUCAAGGUUGAGCAGCGAAGUGGUGG